CCGGUCGCGGCUACCAUGCAGUCGAGCGGUAGCACAGAGAGCUUGCUCUCGGGUGACGAGCGGCGGACGGGUGAGUAAUGUCUGGGAAACUGCCUGAUGGAGGGGGAUAACUACUGGAAACGGUAGCUAAUACCGCAUAAUGUCGCAAGACCAAAGUGGGGGACCUUCGGGCCUCAUGCCAUCAGAUGUGCCCAGAUGGGAUUAGCUAGUAGGUGGGGUAACGGCUCACCUAGGCGACGAUCCCUAGCUGGUCUGAGAGGAUGACCAGCCACACUGGAACUGAGACACGGUCCAGACUCCUACGGGAGGCAGCAGUGGGGAAUAUUGCACAAUGGGCGCAAGCCUGAUGCAGCCAUGCCGCGUGUGUGAAGAAGGCCUUCGGGUUGUAAAGCACUUUCAGCGGGGAGGAAGGCGAUAAGGUUAAUAACCUUGUCGAUUGACGUUACCCGCAGAAGAAGCACCGGCUAACUCCGUGCCAGCAGCCGCGGUAAUACGGAGGGUGCAAGCGUUAAUCGGAAUUACUGGGCGUAAAGCGCACGCAGGCGGUCUGUCAAGUCGGAUGUGAAAUCCCCGGGCUCAACCUGGGAACUGCAUUCGAAACUGGCAGGCUAGAGUCUUGUAGAGGGGGGUAGAAUUCCAGGUGUAGCGGUGAAAUGCGUAGAGAUCUGGAGGAAUACCGGUGGCGAAGGCGGCCCCCUGGACAAAGACUGACGCUCAGGUGCGAAAGCGUGGGGAGCAAACAGGAUUAGAUACCCUGGUAGUCCACGCCGUAAACGAUGUCGAUUUGGAGGUUGUGCCCUUGAGGCGUGGCUUCCGGAGCUAACGCGUUAAAUCGACCGCCUGGGGAGUACGGCCGCAAGGUUAAAACUCAAAUGAAUUGACGGGGGCCCGCACAAGCGGUGGAGCAUGUGGUUUAAUUCGAUGCAACGCGAAGAACCUUACCUGGUCUUGACAUCCACAGAACUUGCCAGAGAUGCUUUGGUGCCUUCGGGAACUGUGAAACAGGUGCUGCAUGGCUGUCGUCAGCUCGUGUUGUGAAAUGUUGGGUUAAGUCCCGAACGAGCGCACCCUUAUCCUUGUUGCCACGGUUAGGCCGGGAAUUCAAGGAAAUGCCCGGUUAACUUGGGA
rnacentral:rRNA from 1 species